rnacentral:rRNA from 1 species
GACGGGGGGGGCAAGCGUUGUUCGGAAUUACUGGGCGUAAAGGGCUCGUAGGCGGCCAACUAAGUCAGACGUGAAAUCCCUCGGCUUAACCGGGGAACUGCGUCUGAUACUGGAUGGCUUGAGGUUGGGAGAGGGAUGCGGAAUUCCAGGUGUAGCGGUGAAAUGCGUAGAUAUCUGGAGGAACACCGGUGGCGAAGGCGGCAUCCUGGACCAAUUCUGACGCUGAGGAGCGAAAGCCAGGGGAGCAAACGGG